rnacentral:rRNA from 2 species
GCAAGGUUAACCGAAUAGGGGAGCCGGAGGGAAACCGAGUCUUAAUUGGGCGUUAAGUUGCAGGGUAUAGACCCGAAACCCGGUGAUCUAGCCAUGGGCAGGUUGAAGGUUGGGUAACACUAACUGGAGGACCGAACCGACUAAUGUUGAAAAAUUAGCGGAUGACCUGUGGCUGGGGGUGAAAGGCCAAUCAAACCGGGAGAUAGCUGGUUCUCCCCGAAAGCUAUUUAGGUAGCGCCUCGUGAAUUCAUCUCCGGGGGUAGAGCACUGUUUCGGCUAGGGGGCCAUCCCGGCUUACCAACCCGAUGCAAACUGCGAAUACCGGAGAAUGUUAUCACGGGAGACACACGGCGGGUGCUAACGUCCGUCGUGAAGAGGGAAACAACCCAGACCGCCAGCUAAGGUCCCAAAGUCAUGGUUAAGUGGGAAACGAUGUGGGAAGGCCCAGACAGCCAGGAUGUUGGCUUAGAAGCAGCCAUCAUUUAAAGAAAGCGUAAUAGCUCACUGGUCGAGUCGGCCUGCGCGGAAGAUGUAACGGGGCUAAACCAUGCACCGAAGCUGCGGCAGCGACGCUGAUGCGUUGUUGGGUAGGGGAGCGUUCUGUAAGCCUGCGAAGGUGGCCUGUGAGGGUUGCUGGAGGUAUCAGAAGUGCGAAUGCUGACAUAAGUAACGAUAAAGCGGGUGAAAAGCCCGCUCGCCGGAAGACCAAGGGUUCCUGUCCAACGUUAAUCGGGGCAGGGUGAGUCGACCCCUAAGGCGAGGCCGAAAGGCGUAGUCGAUGGGAAACGGGUUAAUAUUCCCGUACUUGGUGUUACUGCGAAGGGGGGACGGAGAAGGCUAUGUUGGCCGGGCGACGGUU